rnacentral:rRNA from 1 species
UACGAAGGGGGCUAGCGUUGCUCGGAAUGACUGGGCGUAAAGGGCGCGUAGGCGGAUGGCACAGUCAGAUGUGAAAUUCCCGGGCUUAACCUGGGGGGCUGCAUUUGAUACGUGUUGUCUAGAGUGAGGAAGAGGGUUGUGGAAUUCCCAGUGUAGAGGUGAAAUUCGUAGAUAUUGGGAAGAACACCGGUGGCGAAGGCGGCAACCUGGUCCUUGACUGACGCUGAGGCGCGAAAGCGUGGGGAGCAAACAGG